rnacentral:rRNA from 1 species
UCCAUAGGUUAAUGAGGCGAACCGGGGGAACUGAAACAUCUAAGUACCCCGAGGAAAAGAAAUCAACCGAGAUUCCCCCAGUAGCGGCGAGCGAACGGGGAGCAGCCCAGAGCCUGAAUCAGUGUGUGUGUUAGUGGAAGCGUCUGGAAAGGCGCGCGAUACAGGGUGACAGCCCCGUACACAAAAAUGCACAUGCUGUGAGCUCGAUGAGUAGGGCGGGACACGUGGUAUCCUGUCUGAAUAUGGGGGGACCAUCCUCCAAGGCUAAAUACUCCUGACUGACCGAUAGUGAACCAGUACCGUGAGGGAAAGGCGAAAAGAACCCCGGCGAGGGGAGUGAAAAAGAACCUGAAACCGUGUACGUACAAGCAGUGGGAGCACGCUUAGGCGUGUGACUGCGUACCUUUUGUAUAAUGGGUCAGCGACUUAUAUUCUGUAGCAAGGUUAACCGAAUAGGGGAGCCGAAGGGAAACCGAGUCUUAACUGGGCGUUAAGUUGCAGGGUAUAGACCCGAAACCCGGUGAUCUAGCCAUGGGCAGGUUGAAGGUUGGGUAACACUAACUGGAGGACCGAACCGACUAAUGUUGAAAAAUUAGCGGAUGACUUGUGGCUGGGGGUGAAAGGCCAAUCAAACCGGGAGAUAGCUGGUUCUCCCCGAAAGCUAUUUAGGUAGCGCCUCGUGAAUUCAUCUCCGGGGGUAGAGCACUGUUUCGGCAAGGGGGUCAUCCCGACUUACCAACCCGAUGCAAACUGCGAAUACCGGAGAAUGUUAUCACGGGAGACACACGGCGGGUGCUAACGUCCGUCGUGAAGAGGGAAACAACCCAGACCGCCAGCUAAGGUCCCAAAGUCAUGGUUAAGUGGGAAACGAUGUGGGAAGGCCCAGACAGCCAGGAUGUUGGCUUAGAAGCAGCCAUCAUUUAAAGAAAGCGUAAUAGCUCACUGGUCGAGUCGGCCUGCGCGGAAGAUGUAACGGGGCUAAACCAUGCACCGAAGCUGCGGCAGCGACGCUUAUGCGUUGUUGGGUAGGGGAGCGUUCUGUAAGCCUGUGAAGGUGUGCUGUGAGGCAUGCUGGAGGUAUCAGAAGUGCGAAUGCUGACAUAAGUAACGAUAAAGCGGGUGAAAAGCCCGCUCGCCGGAAGACCAAGGGUUCCUGUCCAACGUUAAUCGGGGCAGGGUGAGUCGACCCCUAAGGCGAGGCCGAAAGGCGUAGUCGAUGGGAAACAGGUUAAUAUUCCUGUACUUGGUGUUACUGCGAAGGGGGGACGGAGAAGGCUAUGUUGGCCGGGCGACGGUUGUCCCGGUUUAAGCGUGUAGGCUGGUUUUCCAGGCAAAUCCGGAAAAUCAAGGCUGAGGCGUGAUGACGAGGCACUACGGUGCUGAAGCGACAAAUGCCCUGCUUCCAGGAAAAGCCUCUAAGCAUCAGGUAACAUCAAAUCGUACCCCAAACCGACACAGGUGGUCAGGUAGAGAAUACCAAGGCGCUUGAGAGAACUCGGGUGAAGGAACUAGGCAAAAUGGUGCCGUAACUUCGGGAGAAGGCACGCUGAUAUGUAGGUGAAGUCCCUCGCGGAUGGAGCUGAAAUCAGUCGAAGAUACCAGCUGGCUGCAACUGUUUAUUAAAAACACAGCACUGUGCAAACACGAAAGUGGACGUAUACGGUGUGACGCCUGCCCGGUGC